rnacentral:rRNA from 1 species
AUUGAACGCUGGCGGCAUGCUUUACACAUGCAAGUCGGACGGCAGCGGGGAGUGCUUGCACUCUGCCGGCGAGUGGCGAACGGGUGAGUAAUGCAUCGGAACGUACCGAGUAAUGGGGGAUAACUGUCCGAAAGGACAGCUAAUACCGCAUACGCCCUGAGGGGGAAAGCGGGGGAUCUUAGGACCUCGCGUUAUUCGAGCGGCCGAUGUCUGAUUAGCUAGUUGGUGGGGUAAAGGCCUACCAAGGCGACGAUCAGUAGCGGGUCUGAGAGGACGAUCCGCCACACUGGGACUGAGACACGGCCCAGACUCCUACGGGAGGCAGCAGUGGGGAAUUUUGGACAAUGGGCGCAAGCCUGAUCCAGCCAUGCCGCGUGUCUGAAGAAGGCCUUCGGGUUGUAAAGGACUUUUGUCAGGGAAGAAAAGGCGGGUGCUAAUACCAUCUGCUGAUGACGGUACCUGAAGAAUAAGC